rnacentral:rRNA from 1 species
AGAGCGAACGCUGGCGGCAGGCUUAACACAUGCAAGUCGAGCGGGCGUAGCAAUACGUCAGCGGCAGACGGGUGAGUAACGCGUGGGAACAUACCUUUUGGUUCGGAACAACCCAGGGAAACUUGGGCUAAUACCGGAUAAGCCCUUACGGGGAAAGAUUUAUCGCCGAAAGAUUGGCCCGCGUCUGAUUAGCUAGUUGGUGAGGUAACGGCUCACCAAGGCGACGAUCAGUAGCUGGUCUGAGAGGAUGAUCAGCCACAUUGGGACUGAGACACGGCCCAAACUCCUACGGGAGGCAGCAGUGGGGAAUAUUGGACAAUGGGCGCAAGCCUGAUCCAGCCAUGCCGCGUGAGUGAUGAAGGCCCUAGGGUUGUAAAGCUCUUUUGUGCGGGAAGAUAAUGACGGUACCGCAAGAAUAACGCCCCGGCUAACUUCGUGCCAGUACGCCGC